CAGUAGACGGCUCGAAGCCGCUCGGUGGAUGGCUCGGCUCGGGCGCCGAGGAAGGCCGUGGCAAGCGGCGAUACGCCCCGGGUAGCCGCAGGCAGGCUUUGAUCCGGGGAUCGCCGAAUGGGACCUCCUGCUACGGGCGAAAAGCCCGUAGCGCUCGGGAAACCCUCUUGGGGAGUACCGAGCGGGAACCCCCCCAACGGAAACAUCUUAGUAGGGGGAGGAGAAGAAACCAACUGGGAUCCCCUGAGUAGGGGCGACCGAAAGGGGGAGAGCCCAAACCGAACUCCCAGGCGAGGAGCCUGGGCGGAUGUGGUGUUGCAGGGCCCCGCGCCCUCCCGGUCUCGGGUAGCCGAAGUGGGCUGGAAAGCCCCGCCGCAGAGGGUGACAGCCCCGUAGGCGAAACCCGAGGGGGAGACGGCGGGUGUCCCUGAGUACCACGGCUUGGUUUUGCCGUGGGAAGCUGGGGGGCACCGACCUCCAAGGCUAAAUACGUCCCGAGACCGAUAGCGAACUAAGUACCGUGAGGGAAAGCUGAAAAGUACCCCGGAAGGGGGGUGAAAAGAGCCUGAAACCGAGCGGCUACAGGUGGCGUGGCCCGAAAGGGUCGAUCCUCCCUGAAGGAAACCCGGGCGACCGGGGAGUACGAGGGGAGGGGACCGGGGUCACGCCUUACGUCUAGAAACACGGGCCGGGGAGUUCACGGCUGUGGCGAGCCUAAGGGGCUCUAACCCCGAAGGCGUAGGGAAACCGACAUGCCCGUAGCCGGUCGCAAGACCGGUGUGGGGCGGGGUCUGAAAGGGCCCGGAGUCACAGCCGUGAGACCAGAAACCGAGCGAUCUAGGCCGGGGCAGGGUGAAGCCCGGCGAAAGCCGGGUGGAGGCCCGCAGGGGUUCUGACGUGCAAUUCGUUCCUCUGACCUCGGCCUAGGGGCAAAAGACCAAUCAAGCUCGGUGAUAGCUGGUUCCCCCCAAAGCGGGUCCCAGCCCGGCCCGCCCGGAGGUGGCCGAUCGGGUAGGGCACCGAUUGGGGGUUUAGGGGCCGAAAGGCCCCGGCUCCCUUUCGAACCCCGAACCGGUCGGCACCGUAGAAGGGCGGAGACGGGUUCUGGCGGAUAAGCCGCCAGGCCGAGAGGGGAACAACCCAGACCGGGGUUAAGGCCCCCAAGUGCCGGCUAAAGUGUCAAGCCAGAAGGGUGUCCCCCGCCUUAGACAGCGGGGCCGUAGGCUUAGAAGCAGCCAUCGGCUAAGAAGUGCGUAACAGCUUACCCGCCGAGGCGGGGGGCCCCGAAGAUUAGCGGGACUAAGCCGGCCGCCGAGACCCCGGGGCACCCCGCAUUGCGGGGUGAUCCGGUAGGGGGGCGUCCGGGUGGACUAGAAGCCGGGCCGUGAGGUCCGGUGGAUCCGCUCGGAAUGAAAAUCCCGGCGGUAGUAAGAGCGCAAGAGGGGUGAGAAUCCCCUCCGCCGAAAGGGCAAGGGUUCCUCAGCAACGGUCGUCGGCUGAGGGUUAGCCGGUCCUAAGGUGGCCCUUAACCUGGUGCCACCGAAAGGGAAAGGGGUUAAUAUUCCCCUGCCGUGGGGGUACGCUUCGCGGCAACGCAAGGCCCCGCUCCUGACGCCUCGGGAUAGGGGAGUAGGGCCGCCGCCCUAUCCAAGCGCUGAAGCCCGCGGAGUGCCGUCAUGGCGAGAAGCGGGUGAAGGCGCGAUGGGCCUGCCGUUAGGCAGGUUCCCCCGACUCCUGGGGCCCGUGAAAAGGGAGCGGGGAAGGACCCCCCACGACCGUACCGAGAACCGACACAGGUGCCCCUGGGUGAGAAGCCCAAGGCGUGGCGGGGUAACCCGGGCUAGGGAACUCGGCAAAUUGGCCCCGUAACUUCGGGAGAAGGGGUGCCUGCGGUCUUGGGGCACACCCCUGGGACCGCAGGUCGCAGUGACAAGGGGGACCCGACUGUUUAAUAAAAACAUAGGUCCCCGCGAGCCCGAAAGGGUGAGUACGGGGGCUGAAUCCUGGCCACUGGCGGUACGUGAAACCCGGGUACAACCGGGCGAAGCGCCGCUGAAGGCCGGGAGUAACUCUGACUCUCUUAAGGUAGCCAAAUGCCUUGCCGGGUAAGUUCCGGCGCGCAUGAAUGGAUCAACGAGGUCCCCACUGUCCCAGCCCGGGACCCGCUGAACCCGCAACCAGGUGCAGAGUCCUGGGAGUCCCGGUGGGGCGAGAAGACCCCGUGGAGCUUCACAGCAGCCUGGCGUUGGGAUACGGCUGCGGGUGCGUAGCGUAGGCGGGAGCGAUGAAACCAGUCCUCCGGGGCUGGUGGAUGCGACCAUGAAACACCGCUCACCCGUGGCUGUAUCCCUAACCCUGGGGCAAUCCUGGGGGACAGCGCCAGGUGGGCUGUUCGGCUGGGGCGGCACACCCCUGAAAAGGUAUCAGGGGUGCCCAAAGCUCGGCUCAGGCGGGUCAGAACUCCGCCGUAGAGGGCAAGGCCAAAAGCCGGGCUGACUGCGCCCUUAAACGCAUGGGGCGCAGGCGGGAAACCGGGGCCUAGCGAACGCUCGUGCCCCCUUCGGUGGGGGCCGGGCAUGACAGAAAAGUUACCCCGGGAAUAACCGGCUCGUCGCGGGCGAGAGUUCACAUCGACCCCGCGGUUUGGUACCCAGACGUCGUCUCUUCCUAGCUUGGCCCUGCAGCAGGGGCCAAGAGUGGGGCUGCUCGCCCAUUAAAAGGGAACGUGAGAUGGGUUUAGACCGUCGCGAGACAGGUCGGACUCUACCUGCCGGGACCGUUGGCCGCCUGAGGGGAUGGUCCGCUCAGUACGAGAGGAACGGCGGGCCGCGGCCUCUAGUCUACCGGUUGUCCGGCAGGGCACUGCCGGGCAGCCACGCCGCAAGGGGUAACCGCUGAAGGCAUCUAAGCGGGAAACCCACCCCGAGACGAGGCGGCCGCUCUCGGCCGCAUGGGGCCUCGGCGACGAGGCUCCUGGCCGAGACGAGGGCACCCGUAGAAGACGGGGUUGAUGGGGUGGCGGUGUAUGCACCGAGGGCUCUGCCCGAGGUGCGAGCCGGCCACUCCCAAUAGCCCGAGGCUGUCUACUG
rnacentral:rRNA from 1 species